rnacentral:rRNA from 1 species
ACUCCUACGGGAGGCAGCAGUGGGGAAUAUUGCACAAUGGGCGCAAGCCUGAUGCAGCCAUGCCGCGUGUGUGAAGAAGGCCUUCGGGUUGUAAAGCACUUUCAGUCGUGAGGAAGGUAGUGUAGUUAAUAGCUGCAUUAUUUGUACGUUAGCGACAGAAGAAGCACCGGCUAACUCCGUGCCAGCAGCCGCGGUAAUACGGAGGGUGCGAGCGUUAAUCGGAAUUACUGGGCGUAAAGCGCAUGCAGGUGGUUUGUUAAGUCAGAUGUGAAAGCCCGGGGCUCAACCUCGGAAUAGCAUUUGAAACUGGCAGACUAGAGUACUGUAGAGGGGGUAGAAUUUCAGGUGUAGCGGUGAAAUGCGUAGAGAUCUGAAGGAUACCGGUGGCGAAGGCGGCCCCUGGACAGAUACUGACACUCAGAUGCGAAAGCGUGGGAGCAAACAGGAUUAGAUA